CAGUCGCCGCGGUAAUACGAAGGGGGCUAGCGUUGCUCGGAAUGACUGGGCGUAAAGGGCGCGUAGGCGGUUUGUACAGUUGGAUGUGAAAUUCCUGGGCUUAACCUGGGGGCUGCAUUCAAUACGUGCAGGCUUGAGUGUGGAAGAGGGUUGUGGAAUUCCCAGUGUAGAGGUGAAAUUCGUAGAUAUUGGGAAGAACACCGGUGGCGAAGGCGGCAACCUGGUCCAUAACUGACGCUGAGGCGCGAAAGCGUGGGGAGCAAACAGGAUUAGAUACCCCCGUAGUCCCUGUCUCUUAUAC
rnacentral:rRNA from 1 species